rnacentral:rRNA from 1 species
CGGAUUACAGCCUGCAACCCGGCUGUAUGAAGCUGGAAUCGCUAGUAAUCGCAGAUCAGAAUGCUGCGGUGAAUACGUUCCCGGGUCUUGUACACACCGCCCGUCACACCAUGGGAGCCAGGAAUGCCCGAAGCCAGUGGCCUAACCGCAAGGGAGGAGCUGUCGAAGGCAGGCCCGGUAACUGGGGUGAAGUCGUAACAAGGUACC